rnacentral:rRNA from 1 species
GAUCCUGGCUCAGGAUGAACGCUAGCUACAGGCUUAACACAUGCAAGUCGCGGGGCAGCAUGAAGGAUGCUUGCAUUCUUGAUGGCGACCGGCGCACGGGUGAGUAACGCGUAUCCAACCUGGCCCCUUUCCCCGGCACAGCCCGUAGAAAUGCGGAUUAAUGCCGGAUGCGGUCGUGUGACGGCAUCAGAGCACGACGAAAGGAGCGAUCGGAGGGAUGGG